rnacentral:sRNA from 1 species
AGAUCAAUGUGGGGACAUUAUUCGGGACAAAGAGUCACGGCAAUAAAACGCAAUAACGGGCCACGUGUCGGGCCCAUGAAUAUGACAAAUUCAGGAAACACGCGACCCAGCCGAACCGGAGAACCCACAGCACACCCCAAGCCCAACACCCAAACAAGGAAAAACGAAUUUGUCCAAAUGAUUUUUAUGGUCAUUUAAAGGGAACCGCUUUGCAGAUGGGCACCCAAAUCAGAGGCGACUUACAGAGGCAAUGCCAUAAAAACCCUGCCUUGAGUACACUUAUAAAAAUAUGUUUUUAUUAUAGAUAUACAUAUAUGUGUACCUAGAAUGGUAGUGCAUGGUAGCACGUGGUGUUUUCUCUCUCCUUCCCGUUGGAUUUUUCUGGACUACCGCUGAUAAUUGAAACAGUCAAGAGAGGAACAAAAUUAUGAGUUAUUACCCAUUCCUAACUCUAAACGCUACCGUUGGCGCGAAUCUUUUUCGUUCCACCACUAUCGACAAACAGUGUGUACACACUACCGCAAAACAGCAAAAAAGCAGCAUGAGGUCCUUUCCUUCAGUUUGAUUUUCGACUGCACCCCCGCUGAUCCAAUAAAUGUGGUUGCAACCGAGGGGUUGUCUUCUAUAAGGAAUAAGCACGAAAAAUAGCAAUCGCAAUUUAGAAUUUAUAAUUUUGUCAGCCAAAAUGCGAAGCCCAGCAGUAGUCUGUUAGCUGUUUCUGUGGCUAAGGGUUCUAGAGUUUCAGUUCAUUCCGUUCCACUCGGUUGGGCACCCUCUACUUCCCCCCCAACCGAUUUGUUCCGACAAUUUGUAAUGGGAAAUCAAUAAGCUGUGGCCCCCCAUUAAAUGCAUAAUUUUUCCAGGUGGAGGCUCUUCUCAUGACAAGGCAAAAAGAGACGUGUAUUUUUGUUAGUUUUUCUAUUGAAUCAACAAUGUGGUAGUGCCUGCUGUCUGGCUCAAAGUCGAUGUCGAUCAAUAAAUUAACAUGCACAUUUGCAUUUAAUUAAAUUUCAAUUC